rnacentral:rRNA from 1 species
UACCACGCUUCCAGGAAAAGCUCCUAAGCUUCAGCUUACGCAGACCGUACCGUAAACCGACACAGGUGGGUAGGAUGAGAAUUCUCAGGCGCUUGAGAGAACUCGGGUGAAGGAACUAGGCAACAUGGCACCGUAACUUCGGGAGAAGGUGCACCCUUUUUGGUGGCUCGUGCGAGCUAUAGCUGAAGAGGGUCGCAGUAACCAGGCCGCUGCGACUGUUUAUCAAAAACACAGCACUCUGCAAACACGAAAGUGGACGUAUAGGGUGUGACGCCUGCCCGGUGCUGGAAGGUUAAUUGAUGGGGUCAGCCGCAAGGCGAAGCUCUUGAUCGAAGCCCC